rnacentral:rRNA from 1 species
AUUGAACGCUGGCGGCAUGCCUUACACAUGCAAGUCGAACGGUAACAGGUCUUCGGAUGCUGACGAGUGGCGAACGGGUGAGUAAUACAUCGGAACGUGCCCGAGAGUGGGGGAUAACGAGGCGAAAGCUUUGCUAAUACCGCAUACGAUCUCAGGAUGAAAGCAGGGGACCGCAAGGCCUUGCGCUCACGGAGCGGCCGAUGGCAGAUUAGGUAGUUGGUGGGAUAAAAGCUUACCAAGCCGACGAUCUGUAGCUGGUCUGCGAGGACGACCGGCCACACUGGGACUGAGACACGGCCCAGACUCCUACGGGAGGCAGCAGUGGGGAAUUUUGGACAAUGGGCGCAAGCCUGAUCCAGCCAUGCCGCGUGCAGGAUGAAGGCCUUCGGGUUGUAAACUGCUUUUGUACGGAACGAAAAGACUCCUUCUAAUAAAGGGGGUCCAUGACGGUACCGUAAGAAUAAGCACCGGCUAACUACGUGCCAGCCGCCGCAGUAACAC